UCGCACACACUGCCUCAUUUUUGUUCCGGAGAGAGAGCGAUCAGGGUUCCAGGCAGGGUGACAUACCAUGGGCAUUAAAAGCAUAUAGUCAGUCUUAGCAAAUUAGGUAAAUUAGCGAUCUUUUGAUGGUAUUCUAUUGUUGCUAUUGUAAUCACAGUCAUUUUCCCUGGUAGUGGUGCUUCGUGAUGAAGUAUAGUUCUCACAGGAUAAUUGUGAAAGAUACUGAAAGAUUCAGGCUCAGGGAUGCCGCAUCUGCUUUCAAAAGCUCUUCAGAUUCAAACUGGCAUUUUCCUUUAUCUUGGAAAUUGAUUAGAGAUUCAGAUCAUGCCGGUUUAAAUGGAAAGGUGAAAACAGGGUAAUUUCAGUCUAUGAAUUAUUCAAUCUCAGCCUGGUGCAACUGCCAUCCAGGAGCGGAUGCUCUGACGGUCCUUCCGCAGAGUCUCCAUUAUGCUUGUCAUUUUUACUUCUUUAUCUACGAUCUCUUUCUCAGUUACCCAGCUUGUCCCUUAGGGCUCGGCUUCACAAACCCAAAGUAUUUCCAAUUGGCAGUAACCUAAAUGGGCGGCUGUCUCAAAUCGCUGUCUCCACAGGCUGCCUUUUUUCUUCCCCCAAAAUCAUUUUAAACACACAUACACACACAUUCAUGAUGAUAUCUGUGAGGCUCUUUGAUUCAAUGAAUUAAAACACACACAUACACACAGACCCCACACACACACACACAGAUGAGGGAAUCGCUGCAAAGAAGAGUGAUGUUCCACUAACAUCACAAGAGGAGAUAAAGUGAUGCUUUCUGCUUCCUUCUUUGUUGUCAGUAUGACCCAUCCUAGUUGAAUAACAUCACGCAGGAAGGAGCCAGCACUAAACAGGCUUGCCUGGCACCCUGAUUUCCAACCAGCACAGAUGAAGACUGCAUGGAAGGCAGACUAAUCCAGGCAACUGUACAACUUAGCGAGCACGAUUAUUUAGGGAAAAUAAGAAGAAGCCAUCGGAGGACUGCAAUUAAACUGUCAAUCUCCCAGGCUCCACCUGCACCCAGACUGCAGUCGCAAAGAUUCUCCACUUGAUGGCUGGCUGUGUCACUGCUAGUCGACAGCUGUCCCCGAAUCCAGAGAGGACUGGGAUGGAUUUAGGUCAGUGAGUCUGGUUUCUCCUUUAAAUCGUGUUCUAACUGAGGAACCCGGGAUCUGGGCUAGUCCCCGUGAGCCGCCCGAACUGGGAGCUUGGAACAUCAGUGCGGUGGAGGAAUCUGCCUGCCCAGGCCCCAGCCGGGCACGCAGCGUCAGCAUCUCCUUCGUCCUAGCCUUUAUCCCGCAGGUAGAGCGCCACGCUUCGUGAGAAGCCCACAGACUAUUCCCACAAGUGCUGGGGAGCCAGCCGCGCUCCAACCCGGGCGGUCUGGCCUCCGGGCUCCAGGCAGUACCUGCUCUGCUGCAAACGCACGCUGCCAAGUGUGAAGCCAUCGUAUGCAUUCAGACUGCUUCUCUGCUCCUGGCUAAAAUCAGUUGUACGCCUUGUGACGAGGACCCGACAGGAGCCAGGGCUGGGGCAGAGCGGUGAUGCAGAAAGCAACAGCGAUGACACAGCAGUCAGCUGACUUGCAGGGUGUGAUUGCUCAAUGUCCUCUGCAGAAUCGGUGCCCCAUAACAUGUGGAAUCUUAGUUCUCCAACCAGGGAUUGGACCUGCACCCCCAAUAGUGGAAGCACAGAAUCUUAACCACUAGACCAUCAGGGAAGUCCCUCUGUUUGCUUUUUUUUUCUUUUCUUUAUUUGGUUCUCUUGACACAAAUCCUGAUUGAAUUAGGAAGUUUUUCGACAACGCACAGAGAGAUCAAAACUGGAAGGAGUGGCCUUUCCUGGUGCGUGCGUGCGUGUGUGUGUGUGUGUGUGUGUGUGUGUGUGUGUGUGUGUGUGUUCUGUUGCUCAGUCGGGUCUGACUCUGUGACCCCGUGGACUGUAGCCGGCCAGGAUCCCCUGUCCA